rnacentral:misc_RNA from 1 species
UCCGUAGGUGAACCUGCGGAAGGAUCAUUAAAAAAUACAUUACACAUUGUUUUUGCGAACAAAAAAAUAAAUUUUUUUAUUCGAAUUUCUUAAUAUCAAAACUUUCAACAACGGAUCUCUUGGUUCUCGCAUCGAUGAAGAACGCAGCGAAUUGCGAUACGUAGUAUGACUUGCAGACGUGAAUCAUCGAAUCUUUGAACGCACAUUGCGCCUCGAGGCAUUCCUCGAGGCAUGCCUGUUUGAGCGUCGCAUCCCCUCUAACCCCCGGUUAGGCGUUGCUCCGAAAUAUCAACCGCGCUGUCAAACACGUUUACAGCACGACAUUUCGCCCUCAAAUCAGGUAGGACUACCCGCUGAACUUAAGCAUAUCAAUAAGCGGAGGAAAAGA